rnacentral:rRNA from 1 species
UACGUAGGUGGCAAGCGUUGUCCGGAAUUAUUGGGCGUAAGCGCGCGCAGGUGGUUCCUUAAGUCUGAUGUGAAAGCCCACGGCUCAACCGUGGAGGGUCAUUGGAAACUGGGGAACUUGAGUGCAGAAGAGGAAAGUGGAAUUCCAAGUGUAGCGGUGAAAUGCGUAGAGAUUUGGAGGAACACCAGUGGCGAAGGCGACUUUCCGGUCUGUAACUGACACUGA